rnacentral:rRNA from 1 species
AGAGCUCAAAUUUAAAAUCUGGUGUGCCUCUGGUCACCCGAGUUGUAGUCUGGAGAAGUGUUUUCCGUGUUGGACCGUGUACAAGUCCCUUGGAACAGGGCGUCAUAGAGGGUGAGAAUCCCGUCUUUGACACGGACUACCAAUGCUUUGUGAUGCGCUCUCAAAGAGUCGAGUUGUUUGGGAAUGCAGCUCAAAAUGGGUGGUAAAUGCCAUCUAAAGCUAAAUAUUGGCGAGAGACCGAUAGCGAA